rnacentral:rRNA from 1 species
UGGGCUUGACAUGUCCGGAAUCCUGCAGAGAUGCGGGAGUCCCCUUCGGGGAAUCGGAACAC